ACCGAAGAUUUCCGAAUGAGGAAACUCACUUAGAGUAAUGUCUAAGUAUCAUUAAGUGAAUACAUAGCUUAAUGAGGGGAACUCAGGGAACUGAAACAUCUAAGUACCUGAAGGAAGAGAAAGAAAUUCGAUUCCGUAAGUAGCGGCGAGCGAACGCGGAUUAGCCCAAACCAAUAAAGUUUUCUUUAUUGGGGUUGAGGACAUACCACAUAUAAGAGGUCAUUAUAGACGAAGAAGUUUGGAAAAACUCAUCAUAGAAGGUAAUAAUCCUGUAGUCAAAAUAAUAAUUCUUUAGG
rnacentral:rRNA from 1 species